AGAGCGAACGCUGGCGGCAGGCCUAAUACAUGCAAGUCGAGCGGCCACUUCGGUGGCAGCGGCGGACGGGUGAGUAACGCGUGGGAAUGUGCCCUUUGGUACGGAACAACUGAGGGAAACUUCAGCUAAUACCGUAUGUGCCCUUCGGGGGAAAGAUUUAUUGCCAUUGGAGCAGCCCGCGUUGGAUUAGCUAGUUGGUGGGGUAAAGGCCCACCAAGGCGACGAUCCAUAGCUGGUCUGAGAGGAUGAUCAGCCACACUGGGACUGAGACACGGCCCAGACUCCUACGGGAGGCAGCAGUAGGGAAUCUGCGCAAGUGGGACGAAAGCCUGACGCAGCCAUGCCGCGUGAAUGAUGAAGGUCCGUUAGGUUGUAAAGCUUACGUUUACCGAGAUGAUAAUGACAGUAGUCGGAAGAAUAACGCCCCGG
rnacentral:rRNA from 1 species